AACGAACGCUGGCGGCAGGCCUAACACAUGCAAGUCGAACGCUCUAGCAAUAGAGAGUGGCGCACGGGUGCGUAACGCGUGGGAAUAUGCCCUUGACUACGGAACAACGUCGGGAAACUGACGCUAAUACCGUAUAAUGUCUUCGGACCAAAGAUUUAUCGGUCAAGGAUUAGCCCGCGUCUGAUUAGCUAGUUGGUGAGGUAACGGCUCACCAAGGCGACGAUCAGUAGCUGGUCUGAGAGGAUGAUCAGCCACACUGGGACUGAGACACGGCCCAGGCUCCUACGGGAGGGAGCAGUGAGGAAUAUUGGAAAAUGGAGACAACUCUGAUCCAGCCAUGCCGCGUGAGUGACGAAGGCCUUCGGGUUGUAAAGCUCUUUCAGAUGCGAAGAUAAUGACGGUAACAUCAGAAGAAGCCCCGGCUAAAUUCGUGCCAGCCGCCGCGGUAA
rnacentral:rRNA from 1 species